AGAGUUUGAUCCUGGCUCAGAUUGAACGCUGGCGGCGUGCCUAACACAUGCAAGUCGAGCGGUAACAGGUGUAGCAAUACAUGCUGACGAGCGGCGAACGGGUGAGUAAUGCUUUGGAAUCUUCCCAGUAGUGGGGAAUAACCAGUCGAAAGAUUGGCUAAUACCGCAUACGUCUGAAAAGGGAAAGCGGGGGCUCGUAAGACCUCGCGCUAUUGGAUGAGCCAAAGUCGGAUUAGCUAGUUGGUGGGGUAAUGGCCUACCAAGGCGACAAUCCGUAGCUGGUCUGAGAGGACGACCAGCCACACCGGAACUGAGACACGGUCCGGACUCCUACGGGAGGCAGCAGUGGGGAAUAUUGGACAAUGGGGGAAACCCUGAUCCAGCGACGCCGCGUGUGUGAAGAAGGCCUGCGGGUUGUAAAGCACUUUUAGUGGGGACAAAAAGCUACGGAUUAAUACUCUGUGGUCUUGAUUUAACCCAAAGAAAAAGCACCGGCUAACUCUGUGCCAGCAGCCGCGGUAAUACAGAGGGUGCGAGCGUUAAUCGGAAUUACUGGGCGUAAAGCGCGCGUAGACGGUUUUGUAAGUCAGAUGUGAAAUCCCUGGGCUCAACCUGGGAACUGCAUUUGAGACUGCAUGGCUAGAGUAUCGAAGAGGGAAGUGGAAUUUCCGGUGUAGCGGUGAAAUGCGUAGAUAUCGGAAGGAACACCAGUGGCGAAAGCGACUUCCUGGUCGAAUACUGACGUUCAUGUGCGAAAGCGUGGGGAGCAAACAGGAUUAGAUACCCUAGUAGUCC
rnacentral:rRNA from 1 species